rnacentral:rRNA from 1 species
GAUGAACGCUGGCGGCGUGCUUAACACAUGCAAGUCGAACGGAGUUUGAAUAAGGAAGCCUUCGGAUGGAAUUAAUUAAACUUAGUGGCGGACGGGUGAGUAACGCGUGGGUAACCUGCCGUAUACAGGGGGAUAACACUUAGAAAUAGGUGCUAAUGCCGCAUAAGCGCACAGCAUCGCAUGAUGCAGUGUGAAAAGCUCCGACGGUAUACGAUGGACCCGCGUCUGAUUAGCUAGUUGGUGAGGUAGAGGCUCACCAAGGCGACGAUCAGUAGCCGGCCUGAGAGGGUGACCGGCCACAUUGGGACUGAGACACGGCCCAAACUCCUACGGGAGGCAGCAGUGGGGAAUAUUGCACAAUGGGGGAAACCCUGAUGCAGCGACGCCGCGUGAGUGAAGAAGUAUUUCGGUAUGUAAAGCUCUAUCAGCAGGGAAGAAAAUGACGGUACCUGACUAAGAAGCCCCGGCUAACUACGUGCCAGCAGCCGCAGUAACAC